rnacentral:rRNA from 1 species
GACGGAAGGUGCAAGCGUUGCUCGGAAUCACUGGGCGUAAAGCGUGCGUAGACGGUUACAUAAGUCGGGUGUGAAAGCCCCGGGCUCAACCUGGGAAUUGCAUUCGAGACUGCGUAGCUAGGGUGCGGAAGAGGGAAGCGGAAUUUCCGGUGUAGCGGUGAAAUGCGUAGAUAUCGGAAGGAACACCAGUGGCGAAAGCGGCUUCCUGGUCCAGCACCGACGUUCAGGCACGAAAGCGUGGGGAGCAAACAGG